rnacentral:tRNA from 1 species
UUAGCUCAGUUGGUCAGAGCGAGCGACUCAUAAUCGCCAGGUCGCUGGUUCAAGUCCAGCA